AGAAAGUAGCAGUCAUAUGAGUUUAACUCUCCCCAACUAUCAGCAAUGGCUUGGCUUGUCUAUAAAUCAGAGUAAUGUGAGCUUAUAGUCUGGUAUCCCACAAUAUGCCUGAGCUCACACAAGCAUUUUACACAAUUUUAUGCCUGUUCUGAGUUAAAGCAUCUAUUUAUAGUUUUAAAUUAUUCAUAUCAGAUCAUGAGCAAUCACUGUGCGGAGUGGAAUCCAUCAGUCAUAGAUGUUGGACCACUGAGGUGGACAGAGAUUCAGCAAUUCAAGGAAGAGAUAGGAAACAGAUUUUUUCAGUGUAUUUUAUUAAGUGCCGCAGAUGACUCCAUGACAUAUUACCCAGGUGCUGAGAAUGCUGUAGCAUAACAAUUGUCCCAGCACAAUGGGAAGGUUAAAGUCAGAAGUAUUUUUACAAAAUUAUACUAUUAUUCUGUAAUUGAUUUGGGGAUUCUAGUAAUUUAGUUCGUAGAGAUUUUAAGUUUGUAUACAGUCUAAAUUAUUUGCAUAUCCAAUGGACAGAUGAUUCACCAUCACUAUCAUGCUGCCAUGCUUGGCCCUAUGAAGACAUCCUUGGCACCCAUGCAUAAACCUUCCAAUAUUCAAUUCAACUUUAAAACACACUUUCUUUACAUAGUAAGAACAGUAAAAACAUUCAGGAAGACAAGAUUUCACUUAUUUUAUCACCCUGCCUACUGCAUUCUUCUGCAGCUUGCAAGAAUAAGAUAUGAAGACCCUCCAGCUUCAACAUCAAUCACUCUUUCUUCUCAAUAUCCAUACAAAGGCACUGGAGAAAAUUAUGAGACAUCAUCUAAAAUACCAACAACGUGGAUCACUUUCUGUCCCAAUGGAUUCUCUAGCUGGCCUGAAAGUUGAGGAGCUCAGUUUCAUACUGACCACGCAGAGGAAAAAAGCUGCCCAAGUAAGAGCCUACCAGCCAUGCCUCUAAAACCAUACCACCACACUCACCAGAGGCUGCAGAGGGAGGAACCUUGACUAUCAGAAGAGGAAGGAAGCCUAAGUAGCAUCUGUACAUGGCAAAGGAAAAGUCACACUAUGAUUUUUCAAAGGCUUUAAGGGAUUUUCAGAGACCCUUUGCACCCAGGACUCAUGCUUUACCUUGUGUCUAUAAACCAACAUCAUACUGCUAGGCAGUGCUUUAGAAGCUGGCUCAGAGGGAAGAAGUGGCACAGCUGUAAUCACAGCUGAACUCUGUAGCACCUGGAAGUCCUGGAAACUCGCCACCUCCUGCCAAUAAGACCUGGCUCAGCUGGUUUUAUGAGCUCUGACAAGAUCUCAGCCUGGUGCAAUGUUGCUGUGAAUGUCAGUAAUGUAACCCUUGUAGCAGAAGCAUAAGGAGAUUUUCCUAUUUUUUCGUUGGUCUUUAUUGAGCUCAGUUGAUGAGGCUGACAAAAAUGUGAAAGGGACACAUACCACAGUGUGCAUGGAUGUCUGAUCGUAUGAACAGUAUUUUGAAGAGCAGACAGAAUGCUUAGAUGAGAGAUUCUUUGUUGUUCUAAGGAUGUGAAAGCGUCCCUGUGCUGACCUCUUGUUUUUGCUUUCUAAGGUCAGUUGUUCUUCUGUUGCAAUUCAUAUUACAUAUUUUCCUUCUUAUAAAGAUGUGAAGCUCACAUAAUUGAAAACUACUCAUUUUUUUUUAACCUUUUAAACCUUCUCUGUCCAGUGAUAUGAUUAGAUCAUGAUAUGUAAUAAGUAAACAAGCCUCUCAUGAGUUGUGUUGGUGACUUUGAGCAGAACAUGGGCUGUAGAUCAGACAUCCUGUGGGUGACAGCAUAAAGGACAUAAACCAUCUGGGUAAGAUGUUUUCAAAGAAUACUGUCAAGAUCAAAAAGAAAUGCAAAGAAGAGAGUUCUUUUGCCAGAUAACUUAUAAAUCACAAUCUCAGUCCAUAAAUAUUUUUAGCACCUGCAUCUCAUCGCUUCCCAAACACCUACAGGUACUAAAGCUUUCCUUAAUCAAAGUUAAAAAUUUUGUGUCUGAAGAGUGAUGCUAGCUCUGGGUUCAAACAAAACAAAGAGUUGCCAAAGGCAAAAAAAAAAACAGUUUUUUUUUUUUUUUUUUUGAUUGGUCAGUAUUGUGUCAUACAGUGAAGGGGAAAAAAAUAUGAGCCUGCUUCAAUAUCCCAAAUUGGUUCUCCCAUAUUUUCCAUCUUUGUGCUCAGCAUCAACCUCCUCUGACACAGUGUCAUUGGGCCCUUUGGGACAUCCGGUCAUACAGGUGGCUAAAAGCCUGGUGAGAAUUUCAAACAACCAGUCAGCAUGGUGCAAGUAGGCAAAUCAAGUGUUGUCAUAGAUUAGGAGUGACCUCACUGCCCUAUUAGAAGAACAAGGAUGAAAAAGAGCCUUACAAGCCAUAAAUGCUGGCAAAUUGGGACGUUUGUCUGAAUUUCUGGUAAGUAGCCAUUAAAGAGCAGAGGAAGGAAAGGAUCAGCUGGGAUUUUCAGAGGGGCUAUUGUUUUAAGAAUCCUUUGCUAAACUGAUUAAGUUAAAUUCCUUCUUUCUUUUAUAUCCAGCUUAAACUGACUUCCCUGAAAUACAGAAAACUAAAACCUAUGUUCAGUCAUACUUGAUUGAUACCGGUCAGUCUGGUAUGGGAAAUUAACCAUACUUUAAAAAAUGUUCUACAGCAGCUCCUUUUGGGAAAGAAAAACAGAAGUAGGGGAGGAAGAUAAAUAAUAAAGAAAACUGCACUUUUAUUCUGCUUUUAGGUGAGUUGCCCUUGGUUGCAGAACUAUAGGAAGGGUGACAUUGUAGCCUAUGCUUAUAAAGGAUCCUCAGAACUUCUCCUGGUAAGAUUGCAUGUUUGAAAGAUACAGAAUCUGUGCUUCUUAAUUCAUCAGUUAUUUCUUAUGGUGAUUUGGUUUUUAGAAAAAAGUAUAUACAGAAAGAUUCUCAGCAAAGCCUAUGAUUAAAUGACCCCCAAAUAGACAUAAUACAGCAAGAGUAAUACAUUUUUAUACAUUAUAAUCAAAUACUGUGUCUAAGGGAAAGAGGUUUUAUCUUCUGUGAAAUACAGGACUUGGAAUCAGGAAUUCUGGGGUUAUCUCCUGUCUUUGUUAGUGACAUAACUGAAACAGUUCAUAUUGGUUGGAUAUGUGGAUACAGUGAUUAUUUCUGCUGAAGUUCUCCAGAACAACAAGUACUGCCUGCAUCAGUGGUGUCUGCAGCCAGGCCUAGAAAGUCUUUGGCAGAAGAAAACCCCAGCAUUGUUCUACUUGCCCAGGAAAAAAACCAACACCCUCAUGACCUGCAGUGAGUGACUGAGUUUCUACCUGUCUUCUUCUCCUCUUUGCUGGAAUUAAUGUUGAACUUUGCAAUACUCAGAAAUUCGGGGUUAAAUCAGUUUGGCUGUUUCACGAGCAAAGAUGUUGUUUUAUUUUGUUUGCUAAAUAAAGAAAUUCAGAUUUAUUUAACACACAAAAAUGUGGAGAGAGGGGAAAAGAAAAUCCUACCUUAGCUAUGCAAGAUGAGUUAUCUCACUCCACAGGCCAGAAAUCUAGUAGAAUGGCUUGCCCGAGGAUCAGCAAUGAGUUUGUAGCAAUACCAUAUCUCCUGAGUGCCUGAGCUGCAAGAUUAUCCUUCACCAAUGCCAGCUGUCAUUUUAAUACAGAGAAGUAUCUUAUUUUUUUAGAUACAUAAAUGAUUCAUACUAAUAUCAGAAGGAAUUAACUUUCACAGAGAAAAACACUUUCCUUCAAAAUGGUUCAAAAUACAUGUUUGCAAUGAGUGAACUACCACUGCCUUUGGAAAGGCUGGUUUCUUGUCAUUAACUUCUUAGUAGAAAUUAAAAUCAUCCUAUGCUACGCCAAUGCUUUCUGUAUCUUAUCUCUGUAACAACAGAUCAAUAAAAAAAAAAUACUAGAGUUUGCAAUAACAAACUAAA